CUUAUAUUCUGUAGCAAGGUUAACCGUAUAGGGGAGCCGUAGGGAAACCGAGUCUUAACCGGGCGUUAAGUUGCAGGGUAUAGACCCGAAACCCGGUGAUCUAGCCAUGGGCAGGUUGAAGGUUGGGUAACACUAACUGGAGGACCGAACCGACUAAUGUUGAAAAAUUAGCGGAUGACCUGUGGCUGGGGGUGAAAGGCCAAUCAAACCGGGAGAUAGCUGGUUCUCCCCGAAAGCUAUUUAGGUAGCGCCUCGUGAAUUCAUCUCCGGGGGUAGAGCACUGUUUCGGCUAGGGGGCCAUCCCGGCUUACCAACCCGAUGCAAACUGCGAAUACCGGAGAAUGUUAUCACGGGAGACACACGGCGGGUGCUAACGUCCGUCGUGAAGAGGGAAACAACCCAGACCGCCAGCUAAGGUCCCAAAGUCAUGGUUAAGUGGGAAACGAUGUGGGAAGGCCCAGACAGCCAGGAUGUUGGCUUAGAAGCAGCCAUCAUUUAAAGAAAGCGUAAUAGCUCACUGGUCGAGUCGGCCUGCGCGGAAGAUGUAACGGGGCUAAACCAUGCACCGAAGCUGCGGCAGCGAACGUAUCACUUAAAGCGAUUCAGCGGGUUACGAUUGACGGAGCGAAGCGACGUCAAAGCGUAUACAAAGUCGAGUCGGUUUAAGGAUACGUUCGUUGGGUAGGGGAGCGUUCUGUAAGCCUGUGAAGGUGUGUCGUGAGGCAUGCUGGAGGUAUCAGAAGUGCGAAUGCUGACAUAAGUAACGAUAAAGCGGGUGAAAAGCCCGCUCGCCGGAAGACCAAGGGUUCCUGUCCAACGUUAAUCGGGGCAGGGUGAGUCGACCCCUAAGGCGAGGCCGAAAGGCGUAGUCGAUGGGAAACGGGUUAAUAUUCCCGUACUUGGUGUUACUGCGAAGGGGGGACGGAGAAGGCUAUGUUGGCCGGGCGACGGUUGUCCCGGUUUAAGCGUGUAGGUGUGUGUUCCAGGUAAAUCCGGUUCACUUUAACACUGAGGCGUGACGACGAGGCACUACGGUGCUGAAGCAACAAAUGCCCUGCUUCCAGGAAAAGCCUCUAAGCAUCAGGUAACAUCAAAUCGUACCCCAAACCGACACAGGUGGUCAGGUAGAGAAUACCAAGGCGCUUGAGAGAACUCGGGUGAAGGAACUAGGCAAAAUGGUGCCGUAACUUCGGGAGAAGGCACGCUGACACGUAGGUGAAGUGAUUUACUCAUGGAGCUGAAGUCAGUCGAAGAUACCAGCUGGCUGCAACUGUUUAUUAAAAACACAGCACUGUGCAAACACGAAAGUGGACGUAUACGGUGUGACGCCUGCCCGGUGCCGGAAGGUUAAUUGAUGGGGUCAGCGCAAGCGAAGCUCCUGAUCGAAGCCCCGGUAAACGGCGGCCGUAACUAUAACGGUCCUAAGGUAGCGAAAUUCCUUGUCGGGUAAGUUCCGACCUGCACGAAUGGCGUAAUGAUGGCCAGGCUGUCUCCACCCGAGACUCAGUGAAAUUGAACUCGCUGUGAAGAUGCAGUGUACCCGCGGCAAGACGGAAAGACCCCGUGAACCUUUACUAUAGCUUGACACUGA
rnacentral:rRNA from 1 species